AACACUCGCAGGAGCAAACGCAGACUCAGCGAGGAGAAGAGACACUCAAAGUCGACAUGUUCCAGUCGAGAAUCGGAAGGCCGACACAGCUCGAUCACCUGCGAACGGAAUGAUGUGGGGAGGUGAAAAGCGGACGCGAAGGAAAAGGAGCCUCCAUGAUGCCUCUCAUGAAGGGCUGCACCAGCGCAGGUGAGAUGGCUCUCCUCUUCUCCACCUCGUCCAGGAUCUGACAACAUUCAGUGAUUUGUAUAAUAAUUUAAUAAUUAACUUUUGGGUAUUUUCAGGAUUUUUUUUUUCUACAUUUCCACCGUACUCCAUCGGGAACACACAGAAUCUGUUCCGAUCGUUUUUUGAAGGAAUUUUGGAGUUUGUCAUUUUUUUGCAGACCAUGCCCCCCCCCCCCCCCAAAAAAAAAAACCUAGCUCCACCAGUGUUGCCACCCCUUUCCAAAUGAAAAUUUACAAUCUUUACAGCACAAUUAAAUGUGAUAUCACCCGCCCGAUUCAGUGGUCGCAUUUGUUUGAACAAAACUGCAAAGCACAAGGACCACUUCAAGGGCAUAUUUACUCGCCGCUUUAAUUAAGCGAUGCUGUGCGUAAACAUUUCAAGUGGAAAUGCUUGUAAAGCUUUCAUUUCCACUGCUGCAACCACAGCAGCUGCACAUACACACACACACACGUGCGACGCGGUUCCGUGCUGGAGUACGAGGCCGGCCAGGCAAUACAAGACCGCACACGGGGGCGGGGUGUGGCUCUGCGGGCGCAGAGGGUGGUCAUGCUGCUUCACUUUAACCAUGGCCACUUGGAUGUUGAAGUGUUUUUUUUUUUUUAUUGCAUGUGCUUGUACUGUACCUUGGAAAAAAGGUCAAAGCAGCCCAAGCGGCUGACGAUGCAGUAGACCUCGGGGAGCCUUCGGCCCUUACCGCUGGGCUGUAGAUAAAAUUUAAUAGUAAUCAAUCUAGAUCUGUAAAACUACUUCCAUUUAAAAAAAAAAAAAAAAGUGUGUUUUGGUACAUACCAGCAAUCGUCUGCAGUAGCCAAAUCGACGACUUCCAUCCUCACCGGUCAGCACGAAUGAAAAUGUCUCACUGAGGGUAUGAAAAGAACAGAAAAACAUGUAAGAUGGCACUCCCAGAAAGAAAAGCAAAUUUAUCAUCUCAUCUUUUGAUUUCCAGUUUGCACCUGGGGAAGUUAUCGACCGGCGCCCAGUCUUUGGCGUCGGGGAAGCAGAACUGAGGGAUGACCUUCAGCUGGUCUUCUGUCUCCCGCAUGAACUUGAAGCUGCGUUCAAGCUGGAUUGGAAAAGGCAACAAGAUCCCUGUCCAAGGUCCGGUACCGCCCCGUCUGCCUCAGCAUGGACUGGACCGACACCAGCCUCUGGCUAUGAGCUAAAGGAUAGCAAAAGAAAUGCAUGAGGGACAAAAGUCUUCUUUUUCCGGCCUAACCCGAGCGCUCUUUCUCACCUUUUAGCUUCUCCUCCGUGUCACUUUCUGACUCGCUGUUCUCGUCGGUCACUACAUGAAAAAAAAAACAUGAGAUGACUCCGGGACAAGAAAACUUGAAAGCGACGCCUCACCUCUCCCUGAGCUGGACUCGGUGGACUGCGACACCUUCUUCAUGCGCUUUUUCCCUCUCCGAGCCUCGAAAAUACCGUUGAUUUUUAUCACCAUCUGCAAAGAGAAUUCAUUUUCGCCAAAUUGAUUUCGGAAAACAUUUUGGGAUGUAAAAGAAAGCGAUACCUUGGGGAUUUUCCUCCGUCGCCGGUUGUACGGGUCCCCGGAGAGGCAGGGGGUGUCAUCGGGGCUGCUUGGCGUGGACGGCGGGCUGACGCGUGACGGUGAACACACGCCAGCGUCCCUGUUGGUCUUGCGUAACUCCAAGAGUUUGAAACUCCGUCGCUCGGAGUUCUGCCUGAAGAAGCCAGGCUUGGAGCACAACUGUUGGUGCACGGAAACUUUCACUUAGGUUGAGUGGGAAGCCAGAUCAUUGAUUGGAAGUAUUAUUUUUUGCCAGAUUAAAUCAAAGCUUAUGCCUCUGAUUGGUUGUUUUUCCUCAGACGCGGUGUUUUCUUGUAAAUCAAAUUAAAGGCACAAGAUGGGGCCAGAAACUUUUUUUCUAAAUAAAAAUAAAUAAACUCACAUUUAUCAUGAA